rnacentral:lncRNA from 1 species
GCCCCCUGUCCCUGCGGAAGCAGCGGGAGGGCAGGGUCCGAUGUCCGGGUUUCUAUGCCAGGCAGGGAUGAUGAUCCCUGUCACCGGAUGAUCUUAUCCCUGUACCCUCAGCGCCGCCGUCUGCAGUGGAAAAUGCUGUUACUGCUCGGAGGUGUCUAGCUCUCUGACCCAGGAUGGAGUGCAGUGGUGUGAUCACAGCUCAUUGCAGUCUCCAACUCCCAGGCUCAAACCAUCCUCCAGCCUCAGCCUCCCAAGUAACUGGGACCACAGGCACGUACCACCAUGCCUGGCUAAUUUUUACCAUUCCAGGCACUGGAGCCAUCAGAGUACAAAACAGACGCAAACUUCUGUCCUCUUGAAGUCCACUCUGGGAGACAGGCGAUGACACACACAACAUAUGUAUCAAAGUGAGCUGGGAGCCUUGUGAGGCUUUGAGCAGAGGAAGGACAUGGUCUGGCUCUGGCUGCCGAGUGGAGCAGGAAGAGAAAGAAGGUGAAGGGGAUGCUGCUGUCACCAGAGCCCCAGGUGAUGCUUGGUGGAUUGCACACGGGUAGAAAGAAGUGAUCCGGAUCAGGACAUAACUUGAAAAAGGAGCUAUUCCCUGUGCUGAGCUUAGAAACAGGUUUCUGGGCGGGGCGCGGUGGCUCAUGCCUGUAAUCCCACCACUUUGGGAGGCCAAGACAGGUGGAUCACAAGGUCAGGAGUUCAAGACCAGCUUGGCCAAGAUGGUGAAAUCCCAUCUCUACUAAAAAUACAAAAAUCAGCCGGGAGUGGUGGCGGG